ACGGCGGAGCAGGCGGUCGUCCAGUCCUCAACCUCCGCCUCCGGUUCACAAAGGUCGACGGCUUCUUCAUCGUGCAGUCCACGUGGGACUCCACGUCCGCGACCUCGUCGUCUUCGUCAGAACUGGUGAUGGCGUCGCCGCCGAUAUCCGGCCGGCUCUUUUCGGCUAUAUCGGGGAACUUGGGCAAGGAAAAGGAAGCGGCGACAAGUUCAGCUGUGAUGGUGGUGGAUUCA
rnacentral:lncRNA from 1 species